rnacentral:rRNA from 1 species
GAUGAACGCUGGCGGCGUGCCUAAUACAUGCAAGUCGAGCGAACAGACGAGAGUGCUUGCACUCUCUGACGUUAGCGGCGGACGGGUGAGUAACACGUGUGUAACCUACCUAUAAGACUGGGAUAACUUCGGGAAACCGGAGCUAAUACCGGAUAAUAUUUAGCUUCGCAUGUAGCAAUAGUGAAAGACGGUUCUGCUGUCACUUAUAGAUGGACCCGCGGUGUAUUAGCUAGUUGGUGAGGUAACGGCUCACCAAGGCAACGAUACAUAGCCGACCUGAGAGGGUGAUCGGCCACACUGGGACUGAGACACGGCCCAGACUCCUACGGGAGGCAGCAGUAGGGAAUCUUCCGCAAUGGACGAAAGUCUGACGGAGCAAUGCCGCGUGAGUGAAGAAGGUUUUCGGAUCGUAAAACUCUGUUGUAAGGGAAGAACAAGUACGUUAGUAACUGAACGUACCUUGACGGUACCUUACCAGAAAGCCACGGCUAACUACGUG